rnacentral:lncRNA from 1 species
AGUAAUUCAGUUCAAAUUCAAUUACUGAACAAAUCAUAAUUAGUCACCUCAUAGAACAUGGUAGCUUCAGUGCAUGAAAGUCAAAAAAAAUCAUGCUCUACUAUGUCCCAUCACCAAUCCUCUCAAGUAACACACUCUUUGUUUGGAAACUAGGGAAGGAUGGGAAUCCCUUCAUGUUGCUUGGUCAGAGAAGAAACGGAGACAGAAAAUGAGCGUCUGAAUAAAAGGACUCAGUCCCCGUGAACGGCCUAAUGUCCGCCGCCCUUUUUCUUCAUUCACUUGGUAUCGAAUCUCUCGAUUCAUUGGGUAUUUUUCACUAAAGUGAGGGAAAGUAUUAAUUUGAAUAAUCUUCUUUUUUCCUUCAUCCUGAUAAGGUAAUUUUUUAUCUUUAGCCAACAUAAUAUUCACUCCCCUUCCUUCCCAAUUUCCAGACAAAACAUCAAUUUAAGGAUUAGAAAACUAUCUUCUAGAUGAUGAAAGAAAUUCAUUUUUUGCCUUUUAAUAUUAAAAACAAAACCUCAUAGAUGAGCAAAGGCAUCGAGGAGAUGCAUACAUGGGUGAAGAAGAGAACUAAGAUUGAAACAGAGACGAAUAAUGUACAUUAGACUAUGAUAAUGUGACUAACAAACUUCUCUCCCAUCAAAAUCUGGAUGCUGGAAUAGCCAAUUGGAAAUGCAAUAACACAUAACUGAUAUAAGUGACAGUGACUAAAAAUAUACUAAGACGUCCUACAUUAAGAGUGAUUCUGUUCAAAUUCAAUUACUGAACAAAUCAUAAUUAGUCACCUCAUAGAACAUGGUAGCUUCAGUGCAUGAAGGUCAAAAAAAUUCAUGUUCUACUAUUUCCCAUCACCAAUCCUCUCAAAUAACACAAUCUUUGUUUGGAAACUAGGGAAGGAUGGGAAUCCCUUAUUGUUGCUUGGUCAGAGAAGAAACGGAGACAGAAAAUCUCUCGAUUCAUUGGGUAUUUUUCACUAAAGUGAGGGAAAUUAUUAAUUUGAAUAAUCUUCUUUUUUCCUUCAUCCUGAUAAAGUAAUUUUUUAUCUUUAGCCAACAUAAUAUUCACUUAGAGACUUCAGCAGCUGAUUUUCCUCCCUGAAAUCUCUGCUUUGCUCCCUAACCACACAAAGAAGAGAGAAUGUCUCAAUUUAUUAAUCAUUUUCCACCCUUUACCCCUUCCUUCCCAAUUUCCAGACAAAACAUCAAUUUAAGGAUUGAAAACUAUCUUCUAGAUGAUGAAAGAAAUUCUUUUUUUGCCUUUUAAUAUUAAAACAAAACCUCAUAGAUGAGCAAAGGCAUCGAGGAGAUGCAUACAUGGGAGAAGAAGAGAACUAAGAUUGAAACAGAGACAAAUAAUGUACAUUAGACUAUGAUAAUGUGACUAACAAACUUCUCUCCCAUCAAAAUCUGGAUGCUGGAAUAGCCAAUUGGAAAUGCAAUAACACAUAACUGAUAUAAGUGACAGUGACUAAAAAUAUACUAAGACGUCCUACAUUAAGAGUGAUUCUGUUCAAAUUCAAUUACUGAACAAAUCAUAAUUAGUCACCUCAUAGAACAUGGUAGCUUCAGUGCAUGAAGGUCAAAAAAAUUCAUGUUCUACUAUUUCCCAUCACCAAUCCUCUCAAAUAACACAAUCUUUGUUUGGAAACUAGGGAAGGAUGGGAAUCCCUUAUUGUUGCUUGGUCAGAGAAGAAACGGAGACAGAAAAUCUCUCGAUUCAUUGGGUAUUUUUCACUAAAGUGAGGGAAAUUAUUAAUUUGAAUAAUCUUCUUUUUUCCUUCAUCCUGAUAAAGUAAUUUUUUAUCUUUAGCCAACAUAAUAUUCACUUAGAGACUUCAGCAGCUGAUUUUCCUCCCUGAAAUCUCUGCUUUGCUCCCUAACCACACAAAGAAGAGAGAAUGUCUCAAUUUAUUAAUCAUUUUCCACCCUUUACCCCUUCCUUCCCAAUUUCCAGACAAAACAUCAAUUUAAGGAUUGAAAACUAUCUUCUAGAUGAUGAAAGAAAUUCUUUUUUUGCCUUUUAAUAUUAAAACAAAACCUCAUAGAUGAGCAAAGGCAUCGAGGAGAUGCAUACAUGGGAGAAGAAGAGAACUAAGAUUGAAACAGAGACAAAUAAUGUACAUUAGACUAUGAUAAUGUGACUAAACGUCUAUAGAUAUUGAAAGUGCCUUGAUCUCCUAUUAUCCAAUUGUGAAUUGAAUGGGUAAAAAAGCAUGCACCUUAUUACAUCCUAAAAGCGGAAGAAAACGAAAUCCUCGUGAAACUUACUUGAUUUAAGGGCCACUGGAUAAGCCAGAGCUCGGUUGAGUCUGCUGAGUUCAGAUUAAUAAGUGAAUCCUUUUUUACCUCCUCAAAUUCUGGGGCAGGUUUGUAGCUAAGUUCUUUCGGAGGAUCCAUAAUAAUGAAAUAUAAUCAAUAAGAGCGUUUGUUCUCGAAGAUUGCAGACCAAGCACCUCCUUAACCACAGGCAAAAUCGAAGAACUGAAGAAGAUGGAACUUUGAAGAAGAAGGCAAGAAGCUGCGCAGCCAAGGGAGUGUUAGGGUUAGGCUUUUUAGUUUUUACUCUGCCAGCAGCCAGUAUAUAACUAUAUAUAUAUGCAAGGGUUAGGUUAGGGC